AUGCUGCUCAACCUUAUUUCCUUUGGUAAUGAUAUUUCUCCAUACACUUCAUGGGAAAUAUCAAAUGAAACCACAAAAUGAUUUUUUGAUUUACCAACCCAAUGAAAUGCAUCAUGUAUAAAUGCCAAAAAUGCAUACCAUGCACCAUAUAGCAAAUGUCACAAGGAUAUUCAACAAUUUCUCCAAGAUAGAAUUUCACAAGGUACUCUGCUAUGAUUACUUACACCAUUGGGAAUUUUAAGUAACUUAUAAUCAUUACAGGUCGAGUCAAAACACAUUCCCAAACAUGAAAAUUCCUCCAUUGGGAAUUCUGGAGUGGAAAGUACAAUUGAUUCUCCAGUGGAGGGAUUCUAUAGCAAAAGUAUUUGGCGUUCAACACUAUCUUCAUGAACAUUGAUAAUAACCAAUCCAUCACAACAACAAUAGACUAUGCAAUGUCGUGGUUCAAUAUUUAAAGGGAAAUUUAGUUCCCGUAUAUCCUCUAGAAAUUGCACCGAUGAUAUCGAACAACAAUAAAUUGAAAAUAGACUUCUUAGGGCGCAAUUUGAAGAACAGAAAUUUUUGGAAAGUUUUGUCAUUCUUGGCAUGAGUGAGAUUCUUCUUCUUGAAAUAUGACUCAUUAAUCAGUGUACCCCAAAGUUUUGAAACACAUUUAAAUUGAAGAAGAGACCGUACAGGCAACCUACUGUAGAAAAAUUUCCACAAGUUUAUUCUCUUCAGAGUGAACAUCCAUGGCCUAGAUAGAUAAGAAAAUUCUAUCACGCCCCUUUUUUAAGUAUUGAAAUGUUAUAUAAUUAUCACCAUAAGUUUUAUAAUGAUAAACUAGAAAGCUUGUUAAUUUAUAUUAUCUUCUAUUACCAAAAUAAAAAUAGAGUAUAAAAAGAUGAGAAAAUUUUAACAAGAGAAAGAAUCUAAGUCCUUUGUCAGUUGAAACAUGAGAGAGAAACUAAUAAGGCAAGCACUUCAAGAAUUUUUAACUAUUCAGUGAAGCUAUAAAACUGGUAUAAGGAUCAUAUAUUUUUCACCGACUCGUAAUUUUAAUAUUUUUGUGGUUGAGACAAUUAAUGUUUAAAAGAGAUGCAUUCUUGUUCUACUAAAGUUUACCAAUAGGUGUGUGUUUGGUAUGAAAAAAAGAUUAAAUCUUAGGCUUGUUUUUUUUUUUUUCGAAUUGUUUCACAAUUAUCAUAAUAGAAGGAUUUGAUCUUUGUAAAUUAAAUGAUGAUGCUAUUCUUCUUCGAGAAAUGAUAGAACAUAAAUAGGGAAAAACACAUUUUAUCCAUAGAAAUAGAGCACGCAUAUAUACUUAGUCAAACCAACAACAAGUUGAAUGUAUAAACUCAAAUAGUAACACGUCAACUCACUUGUUCCCAAUCAUCAAUUCAUCAAUUUUUCUUCUUUUGAUGGUUCCACAACUCUUGAUCCUGAAUUUAUAAAAUUGGAUGAAACUGGCUUAAGUUGUCAAAUAUAACACACACGUACACAAAAUAGAAAAAAAAUACCUUUGAGAACUUCAUUGAAAAGCAUUGACUUCUUGUUCAGAUGUUUAUCAACCAUCUUUGAAGAUUCAAUUGAAUGCUCAUUUUUUUCCUCUUGUAUAAAUUAGUUAUAGUUAUUUAUGGAAAAAAACAUAAUGCAUUAGCAAUAGAAGAAAUUUUUAUAAUUUACCAUAAUCG
rnacentral:lncRNA from 1 species